rnacentral:rRNA from 1 species
UACGAAGGGUGCAAGCGUUAUCCGGAUUUAUUGGGUUUAAAGGGUGCGUAGGUGGCUUUUUAAGUCAGGGGUGAAAGACGGUAGCUUAACUAUCGCAGUGCCUUUGAUACUGAAGAGCUUGAAUGAACUAGAGGUAGGCGGAAUGUGACAAGUAGCGGUGAAAUGCAUAGAUAUGUCACAGAACACCAAUUGCGAAGGCAGCUUACUAUGGUUUUAUUGACACUGAGGCACGAAAGCGUGGGGAUCAAACAGG